GAUGAAGAACGUAGCGAAAUGCGAUAAGUAAUGUGAAUUUCAGAAUUCAGUGAAUCAUCGAAUCUUUGAACGCACAUUGCGCCCGGUAGUAAUCUGCCGGGCAUGCCUGUCCGAGCGUCAUUUCAACCCUCGAACCACUAUUCGCGUAGCUGGAUCGGUGUUGGGGCACUACGGUGGAAUACCCGUAGGCCCCGAAAUGAAGUGGCGGUCCCGCCGCGGCGCCCCCAUGCGUAGUAACAUCUCGUCUCGCAUCGGGUCCCGGCGGAGGCCUGCCGUCAAGCCUAUUUUCUAAUUACAGAUGGUUUGACCUCGGAUCAGGUAGGGUUACCCGCUGAACUUAAGCAUAUCAAUAAGCGGAGGA
rnacentral:misc_RNA from 1 species